rnacentral:tRNA from 1 species
GGAGGGUUGGCAGAGUGGUAAUGCAGCGGUUUGCUAAACCGUGACGGGGUAAUAUCCGUCCGUGGGUUCGAAUCCCGCACCCUCCGCCA